GCUAACACCUGGCAGAAUGUUGCAUACACGUUGUACAAGGAUCACCUUACAGGCUAUGUUGAUAAACCAUUUAAUUCAAGUACCAAGGAAGUCAAAGGUUCCUUGGUAAGAAAUCACAGAGGUCUUAUCAUAGGUGGUGGAGGCGAGUGUGGAGGUUUUACUGGAGCCAUUGACCAGAUUUACGUGUUCUUGUGCAACCCUAAAGCUCACUGAGUCCUAUCUCCAGAACAAUA
rnacentral:sRNA from 1 species